GCGCGAUCGCCUUGAGUUUGAUAUGGCUCAGAACAACGCUGGCGGCGUGCCUCAGACAUGCAAGUCGAACGCGAAAGUCCCCUUCGGGGGAUGAGUAGAGUGGCGCACGGGUGAGUAACACGUAGGUAAUCUACCUUCGGGUGGGGAAUAACCCAGGGAAACUUGGGCUAACACCGCAUAAUGCAGCGGCACCACAUGGUGACAGUUGUUAAAGCGGGGGAUUUUAGGACCUCGCGCCCGAAGAGGAGCCUGCGGCAGAUUAGCUAGUUGGUAAGGUAACGGCUUACCAAGGCGACGAUCUGUAACCGGCCUGAGAGGGCGGUCGGUCACACUGACACUGACAUACGGGUCAGACUCCUACGGGAGGCAGCAGUCGGGAAUUUUGGGCAAUGGGCGAAAGCCUGACCCAGCAACGCCGCGUGAAGGAUGAAAUCCCUCGGGAUGUAAACUUCGCAAGAUUGGGAAGAAUUAGUAGGGGUUAAUACCCCCUAUGAUGACGGUACCUUUUGUAAGCUCCGGCUAACUCCGUGCCAGCAGCCGCGGUAAUACGGGGGGAGCAAGCGUUGUUCGGAUUUACUGGGCGUAAAGGGCGCGUAGGCGGUCAGCACAAGUCAGUUGUGAAAUCUCCGGGCUUAACUCGGAAAGGUCAACUGAUACUGUGCGACUAGAGUGCAGAAGGGGCAACUGGAAUUCUCGGUGUAGCGGUGAAAUGCGUAGAUAUCGAGAGGAACAC
rnacentral:rRNA from 1 species